rnacentral:sRNA from 1 species
CUGCUGGGGAGAAAAUGCCCGCGGGCGGGGUGGGGCAAACAUCUGGGCCUGACCUUGGACAUCUGUGUCCCUGAGCGCAGGUAAUGCCGAACUGGGGAGGAGGCAAGAAAUGUGGGGUGUGUCAGAAGACGGUUUACUUUGCCGAAGAGGUUCAGUGCGAAGGCAACAGCUUCCAUAAAUCCUGCUUCCUGUGCAUGGUCUGCAAGAAGAAUCUGGACAGUACCACUGUGGCCGUGCAUGGUGAGGAGAUCUACUGCAAGUCCUGCUACGGCAAGAAGUAUGGGCCCAAAGGCUAUGGCUACGGGCAGGGCGCAGGCACCCUCAGCACUGACAAGGGGGAGUCGCUGGGUAUCAAGCACGAGGAAGCCCCUGGCCACAGGCCCACCACCAACCCCAACGCAUCCAAAUUUGCCCAGAAGAUUGGUGGCUCCGAGCGCUGCCCCCGAUGCAGCCAGGCAGUCUAUGCUGCGGAGAAGGUGAUUGGUGCUGGGAAGCUAUGGGGCCAGAGAGGAUUUCUGGAGCAUCACGUGAGGCCUGAGAUAGAAAAG